GUCGAGGGGCAGCAUGGUCUUAGCUUGCUAAGACUGAUGGCGACCGGCGCACGGAUGCGUAACGCGUAUGCAACUUGCCUCACAGAGGGGGAUAACCCGUCGAAAGACGGACUAAUACCGCGUACACUUAUUGGAGGGCAUCCUUUGAUAAGGAAAUGAAUUUCGCUGUGAGAUAGGCAUGCGUCCCAUUAGCUAGUUGGUGAGGUAACGGCUCACCAAGGCGACGAUGGGUAGGGGAACUGAGAGGUUGAACCCCCACACUGGUACUGAGACACGGACCAGACUCCUACGGGAGGCAGCAGUGAGGAAUAUUGGUCAAUGGGCGAGAGCCUGAACCAGCCAAGUCGCGUGAAGGAUGACUGUCUUAUGGAUUGUAAACUUCUUUUAUACGGGAAUAACAAGGGUCACGUGUGGCCCCCUGCAUGUACCGUAUGAAUAAGCAUCGGCUAACUCCGUGCCAGCAGCCGCGGUAAUACGGAGGAUGCGAGCGUUAUCCGGAUUUAUUGGGUUUAAAGGGUGCGUAGGCGGCCUGUUAAGUCAGCGGUGAAAUCUAGGAGCUUAACUCCUAAAUUGCCAUUGAAACUGGCGGGCUUGAGUGUAGAUGAGGUAGGCGGUAUGCGUGGUGUAGCGGUGGAAUGCAUAGAUAUCACGCAGAACUCCGAUUGCGAAGGCAGCUUACUAGGGUACAACUGACGCUGAAGCACGAAAGCGUGGGUAUCAAACAGGAUUAGAUACCCUGGUAGUCCACGCAGUAAACGAUGAUAACUGGGCGUAUGCGAUAUACAGUAUGCUCCUAAGCGAAAGCGUUAAGUUAUCCACCUGGGGAGUACGCCGGCAACGGUGAAACUCAAAGGAAUUGACGGGGGCCCGCACAAGCGGAGGAACAUGUGGUUUAAUUCGAUGA
rnacentral:rRNA from 1 species